rnacentral:lncRNA from 1 species
UAUACAUGCUUAUCAAAAAAUGCAGACGUUUAUACAAAUUUUAGUUGCAUCUGGAUGUGAAAUUUACAAAUGGCAUGAAAUAUUAAAGUAUGACCUUCCAGGGACUGACAAAGAUUUGAAUUGUACGAGAAAAUAUCAUAAACCGCGCAAGUUGAAAGAAUUAUGCCGUAUUAGUAUACGCAAAAAACUUGGGUAUUAUCCACAUACUAUCAUAGAUCAAAUCGGUUUACCAAAGGUACUAUGUGAUUAUAUUUUAUUGAAGGACGUCUUUAAUGUUGAACUAUCCUGACAGUUAAGUCCAAGAAUUCACAAGAAUAUACCAGUUUUAUUGUACUGAAUACGAUUUACUAGUACUAUUGGUCAAAAUCAAAAUUAGUAUGUAUCAUUCUGAUAAAGGGUUUACAUUCCUCAUUAAGUUUUGACACAAUUUUAGUUAUUAAAAGAAAGAAAACAAUGUCAGUGUUUUAUUUUGCAGAAGGAAACUAUUUUGUGAUCAUUCACAUACAGAUUGUGUGUACAAUAUUGUCAAUUUUAGUAUUUUUAACUGUCUUGUGUUCUGAUUAAUAUAAGGACAUAUUGGAUAAACGUCAUCGAGAGAGCAACCGAACAGCACUUUACUAUAGCGUCCUACCUCUUUGGAAAAUAUCUGUAUCAAGUCAGGAAUAUGUCAGUUCUAUAUCAUUCGUUCCGUUGAUUGCAAUUGAUGAGGUCUAGUGUUAGAUUUAGUCAUUUUAUAUGGACUUCAGCCUAUUAAAUUAACC